rnacentral:rRNA from 1 species
GCAGGUGAUUCGGGACAAGGGGAUAGGGAAGCUGCUAUUCAAGCCGAGAUGGCCAGGGUUAACAACCUGCCAGCCAAUAGUUCCUACGCGAUUCACCGCAUUAAGGUGCUGAACAAACUUCGCAAUCUUUUAUCUAUAAAGAGGACCACAUCGCAGGAUGAGGAGCUUGAACUCCUUUUCUCAAGCCUUUCGAUUUGA